GAGCUAACUGUUCAGAUGAUGCAAAAUCCUCAGAUUCUUGCAGCCCUUCAGGAAAGACUUGAUGUUCUGGUAGAAAUACCAACAGGUUACAUUGAAAGCCUGCCUAGGGCAGUUAAAAGACAAGUGGAUGCUCUCAAAAACCUGCAGGUUAAAUGUGCACAGAUAGAAGCCAAAUUCUAUGAGGAAGCUCACGAUCUUGAAAGGAAGUAUCCUGUUCUCUGUUGGCCUCUAUUUGAUAAGCAAUUUGAGAUUAUUAAUGCAAUUUAUGAACCUACGGAAGAAAAAUGUGAAUGGAAACCAGUUGAAGAUGAGAUUUCAGAGUUGAAAGAAAAGGCCAAGAUUGAAGAUGAGAAAAAGAAUGAAGAAAAAGAAGACCCCCAAAGGAAUUCCUGAAUUUUGGUUAACUGUUUUUAAGAAUGUUGACUUGCUCAGUGAUACGGUUCAGGAACAUAACCCUAUCCUGAAGCACUUGAAAGAUAUUAAAGUGAAGUUCUCAGAUGCUGGCCAGCCUAUGAGUUUUCUCUUAGAAUUUCACUUUGAGCCCAAUGAGUAUUUUACAAAUGAAGUGCUGACAAAGACAUAUAGGAUGAAGUUAGAACCAGAUGAUUCUGAUCCCUUUUCUUUUGAUGGACCAGAAGUUACAGAUUGUAAGGGUGCCAGACAGAUCGGAAAAAAGGAAAGAAUGUGACUUUGAAAACCAGUAAGAAGCAGAAACACAAGGGAUGUGGAAUAGUUUGUACUGUGACUAGAGCAGUUUCCAAUGACUCUUUCCUUAAUUUUGUUACCCCUCCUGAAGUUCCUGAGAGUGGAGAUCUGGAUGAUGAUGCUGAGGCUAUCCUUGCUGCAGACUUCAAAAUUGGUCACUUUUUGCAUGAGUAUAUAAUCCCAAGAUCAGUGUUAUAAUUUACUGGAGAAGCUAUUGAAGAUGAUGAUGAUAAUUAUGAUGAAGAAGGUGAAGAAGCACAUGAGGAAGGGGAAGAAGAAGGAGAUAAGGAAAAUGAUCCGGACUAUGACCCAAAGAAGGAUCAAAACCCAGCAGAGUGCAAGCAGCAGUGAAGCAGGAUGUAUGUGGCCUUGAGGAUAAUCUGCACUGUAAUAGCCUAAACACAACUUUUAUUUACUUAAAGCCUUAUGUUUUUGUACUUUCUUGGUAGACUAGGUAAUUUUUUUUAAAGGACAGGAAACUGAUAAAGACCAAUUUGUUCUACCUAGCAUUUUAACUAGUUUUUCUGCCAGAUAUGUUGAAUGGACAAAUUCUGUCAUGCAUGUUCAUUCAUUGCUACAUAAUUGGGUUCUUCUGGAAUAAUUUUAAGCAGCUCUUGGAGUACAGCUAUGAAAAUUAACAACUGUUAAAAGAAAUACUUUUUCAUAAUUUUUUCCUUGAAGAACCAAAGUAUUUUUUCAGCUGGUUGUUGAAAACGGUUAAGUCUGCUUGGAUUAGCUGUGCCUUUCAUUACUUUGCUACAGAAAUGCAGUGACUUAUACUAAGACAAUUCAUCAUUU